rnacentral:rRNA from 1 species
GACGAACCGUGCGAACGUUGUUCGGAAUCACUGGGCUUAAAGGGCGCGUAGGCGGACAAUCAAGUCAGGGGUGAAAUCCCACGGCUCAACCGUGGAAGUGCCUUUGAUACUGACUGUCUCGAGGGAGGUAGGGGCGUGCGGAACUUCCGGUGGAGCGGUGAAAUGCGUUGAGAUCCACAGGAACUCCGGUGGCGAAGGCGGCGUGCUGGACCGGUCCUGACGCUGAGGCGCGAAAGCCAGGGGAGCGAACGGG